CAGCCGCCGCGGGAAUACAGAGGGUGCAAGCGUUAAUCGGAAUUACUGGGCGUAAAGCGCGCGUAGGUGGUUUGUUAAGUUGGAUGUGAAAUCCCCGGGCUCAACCUGGGAACUGCAUCCAAAACUGGCAAGCUAGAGUAUGGUAGAGGGUGGUGGAAUUUCCUGUGUAGCGGUGAAAUGCGUAGAUAUAGGAAGGAACACCAGUGGCGAAGGCGACCACAUGGACUGAUACUGACACUGAGGUGCGAAAGCGUGGGGAGCAAACAGGAUUAGAUACCCCAGUAGUCCCUGUCUCUUAUAA
rnacentral:rRNA from 1 species